UGCAGUCAAAAAUGGAAGAGAAAGGUUGCAUCCCUGAUGCUAUAACUUUUGAAAUAAUUAUUUCUGCUCUAUUUGAAAAAGACGAGAAUGAUAAGGCAGAGGAACUUCUCCGAGAAAUGAUUGCUAGAGGCUUAUUGUUCCUCUGCCAGAGUAAAAUUCUUUGGUGCAAGUGAUAUACCAAAUGUGGAAAACCUUGAUCUCCAGAUGUAUAGACAAAUGGCUGAACUCCUCAUAUGCAAGCUCAUAAUAUAUUCACCACUACCAACCAACAGAACUACAAGUAGGACUGAUUUCUUCCUUGUACUGUCUCCAUAGUUUGUGGCUUUGUUUUUAAUUUAAGGUACAAGGUUUGCUUUUUAUGUUAAUUAUGUUUUGGAAAAAUGAUAGAAGAUACCAAAGCCAGACUACACAUUAGUCAGUGUGGCUGUACAACCUAAUGUCUGUUUAUAGAUUUACAGUUUCAUGGACAAAUACAGAAUGCAGCAUUAGUUCCCUUUGCUUGUUA